rnacentral:rRNA from 1 species
AGUCGAGCGAACAGAUAAGGAGCUUGCUCCUUUGACGUUAGCGGCGGACGGGUGAGUAACACGUGGAUAACCUACCUAUAAGACUGGGAUAACUUCGGGAAACCGGAGCUAAUACCGGAUAACAUAUUGAACCGCAUGGUUCAAUAGUGAAAGGCGGCUUUGCUGUCACUUAUAGAUGGAUCCGCGCCGUAUUAGCUAGUUGGUAAGGUAACGGCUUACCAAGGCAACGAUACGUAGCCGACCUGAGAGGGUGAUCGGCCACACUGGAACUGAGACACGGUCCAGACUCCUACGGGAGGCAGCAGUAGGGAAUCUUCCGCAAUGGGCGAAAGCCUGACGGAGCAACGCCGCGUGAGUGAUGAAGGUCUUCGGAUCGUAAAACUCUGUUAUCAGGGAAGAACAAAUGUGUAAGUAACUGUGCACAUCUUGACGGUACCUGAUCAGAAAGCCACGGCUAACUACGUGCCAGCAGCCGCGGUAAUACGUAGGUGGCAAGCGUUAUCCGGAAUUAUUGGGCGUAAAGCGCGCGUAGGCGGUUUUUUAAGUCUGAUGUGAAAGCCCACGGCUCAAACCGUGGAGGGUCAUUGGAAACUGGAAAACUUGAGUGCAGAAGAGGAAAGUGGAAUUUCCAUGUGUAGCGGUGAAAUGCGCAGAGAUAUGGAGGAACACCAGUGGCGAAGGCGACUUUCUGGUCUGUAACUGACGCUGAUGUGCGAAAGCGUGGGGAUCAAACAGGGAUUAGAUACCCUGGUAGUCCACGCCGUAAACGAUGAGUGCUAAGUGUUAGGGGGGUUUCCGCCCCUUAGUGCUGCAGCUAACGACAUUAAGCACUCCGCCUGGGGGAGUACGACCGCAAGGUUGAAACUCAAAGGAAUUGACGGGGACCCGCACAAGCGGUGGAGCAUGUGGUUUAAUUCGAAGCAACGCGAAGAACCUUACCAAAUCUUGACAUCCUUUGACCGCUCUAGAGAUAGAGUCUUCCCCUUCGGGGGACAAAGUGACAGGUGGUGCAUGGUUGUCGUCAGCUCGUGUCGUGAGAUGUUGGGUUAAGUCCCGCAACGAGCGCAACCCUUAAGCUUAGUUGCCAUCAUUAAGUUGGGCACUCUAAGUUGACUGCCGGUGACAAACCGGAGGAAGGUGGGGAUGACGUCAAAUCAUCAUGCCCCUUAUGAUUUGGGCUACACACGUGCUACAAUGGACAAUACAAAGGGCAGCUAAACCGCGAGGUCAAGCAAAUCCCAUAAAGUUGUUCUCAGUUCGGAUUGUAGUCUGCAACUCGACUACAUGAAGCUGGAAUCGCUAGUAAUCGUAGAUCAGCAUGCUACGGUGAAUACGUUCCCGGGUCUUGUACACACCGCCCGUCACACCACGAGAGUUUGUAACUACCCGAAGCCGGUGGAGUAACCAUUUAUGGAGCGACGCUC